CCGCCGGCGACCGGCGCACGGGUGAGUAACACGUAUGCAACCUGGCCGUGACAGAUGGAUAACCGGGAGAAAUCCUGCCUAAUACAACAUAAUGCCGGGAGGGGACAUCCCCUGCCGGCCAAAGGGGGCGACCCCGGUCACGGAUGGGCAUGCGGCGCAUUAGGUAGUUGGUGGGGCAACGGCCCACCAAGCCGACGAUGCGUAGGGGUUCUGAGAGGAAGGUCCCCCACAUUGGAACUGAGACACGGUCCAAACUCCUACGGAAGGCAGCAG
rnacentral:rRNA from 1 species